rnacentral:tRNA from 1 species
GGGACGUUAGCUCAGACGGAUAGAGCGACAGCCUUCUAAGCUGUGGGUCGCUGGUUCGAUUCCAGCACGUUCCGCCA